AAUAAAUCUAUGUCUCUACCCAUUAGAGAUCAUUAAAUGAUCAGACCAUGAAAACAGACUUUUAUUCUUUGCUGUCCUACACAAACCAGAAGCAGAACCAAACCUAGUCAAGAAAUAGAAAGUAAAGCCAUAAAAUGAGAAAUUAAGACAGUAGAGAAAGGAGCUAACAAAGUUAAUUUCUAUUGCUGCUUGGAUGUGCUUUGCUUGAAAUAUGAGGUGCACUUCUUGGGCAACUCAUUCUAAUUGGUUUAGGAAGAUGGGUCCACCUGGACAUCCCAGUGAAACUGCCAAAGCUUCCAUAGUGUAAUUUUUUAAGAGUUCAAAAUAUGACUCUCAUAUAAAGUGAGCACAUGUUUAACUAAUUAACGAUGAAACUUAGAAGGGACUGGGGUUCAAAAAUAUAUAGAAGAGAUAAGAGUAUGCAUGGUGACUAAAUGAAAGAAGGAUGGACUAAGAUUGUGAAAUUACAUGCAAAACUGGUGUGAUGGAUAGUUUAUUUGUCAAUUUGUCUGGGCCAAGGGAUGCCUAGAUCUUUGGUUGAACAUUAUUUCUGCAUACUUCUGUGAGGACAUGUGUGUCUGCUGCCACCUCAGCAGAGGGAGAUUUUAAUAAUCAAGUGGAUAGGAUGACUCAUUCUGUGGAUAUCAGUCAAUCCCUUUCCUUAGCCACCCCUGUCAUUGCCCAAUGUGCUCAUGAACAAAAUAGCCAUGGUGGCAACGACAGAGGUUAUCCAUGAGCUCAGCAACACGGACUUCGAUUCAUUUAUCAUGGAAAGGGCAAGUGUUUUGUUCUUGCUGGAAUGGACACUUACUCUGGAUGCAGAUUUUCUUUUCUUCAUGCGACACUUCUGUCAAAACCACCAUCCACAAACUUACAGAAAGCCUUAUCCGUUCAUCACGGUAUUCCACACAGCAUUGCUUCUGAUCAAGGAACUUCCUUCACAGUGUGGCAGUGGACCUAUGCUCAUGGAAUUCACUGGUCUUACCAUGUUCCCCACCAUCCUGAAGCAGCUGGCUUCACAGAACAGUGGUAUGGCCUCUUGAAGACUCAAUUACAGGGCUGGCUAGAUUCAAUACCUUUCAGGGCUGAGGCAAGGUUCUCAGAAGGUCCAUAUCCUCUAAAUCAGUGCCCAAUGUAUGGCGCUGUUUCUCCCAUAGCCAGGAUUCAUGAGUCCUCGAAUCCAAGGGUGGAAAUGAGAGUGAUACACUAUUACUCCUCGUGACCCACUAACAAAAUUUUUCCUUCCUGUUUCUAUGACCCUAUGCUCUACUGGCCUGGAGGUCUUAGUUCCAAAGGGAGAAAUGUCUCCACCAGUAAAACACAACAAUGAUUUUAUUGAACUGGAAGUUAAGACUGCUGCCCAGCCUCUUUAGACUCCUCAUGCCUCUGAAUCCACAGGCAAAAAGGAAGUUACUGUGCUGUCUAGGGUGACGGAUUCUGACUACCAAGGGAAAACCGGACUACUAUUCCACAAUGGAGUUUUUUGAGGAAGAUUAGCCUUGAACUAACUGCUGCCAAUCCUCCUCUUUUUUCUUGCUGAGGAAGACUGCCCUGAGCUAACAUCCACGCCCAUCUCCCUCUGCUUUGUAUGUGGGCCACCUACCGCAGCAUGGCGUGCCAAGCAGGGCCGUGUCCGCACCCAGGAUCCAAACCAGCGAAUCCCAGGCCGCUGAAGCGGAACAUGUGAACUUAACCACUGUGCCACUGGCCGGUCCCAAAAAUAUCUUAAUAGAAGUUUUUUCUUCUACAGAGCUUCUAAUUCCAUGGUAGACAAUUUACUCAAUACACCAGUGGAACGCCAAUGAGCAGUUUAUCAGGAUAACAUGAAACCCAGCAGUUCUAGAACAAUAUGUUCUACUGAAGCGCUGAAAGCUACUCAUCCUAUGAAAACCAUAAAGAACCACAAACGUGAAUUGGUGAAAUGACGAAGAUUCGUGCUAUGUGAAGACACUGAUUUUUAUACUGGGGCAACAUCUGGAGCAGCUAGUGGUGAUCAGGUUGCUCUUAGUCAACCGUGUGACACUCCAAAGAGAUUCAUGCAUAGGACAGCUGAGCAAAAGUAAGGG
ensembl:lncRNA